rnacentral:rRNA from 1 species
AAGGUGCUAAUACCGGAUAAGAAAGCGGAUCGCAUGAUCAGCUUUUAAAAGGACGGCGUAAGCUGUCGCUAUGGGAUGGCCCCGCGGUGCAUUAGCUAGUUGGUAAGGUAAAGGCUUACCAAGGCGAUGAUGCAUAGCCGAGUUGAGAGACUGAUCGGCCACAUUGGGACUGAGACACGGCCCAAACUCCUACGGGAGGCAGCAGCG